UAUACAAUGCGAUGUGGGGACGGAGAAGGUUAGGUCAGCCGGGUGUUGGAUGUCCCGGUUCAAGCGUGUAGGCAGAUUCUUUAGGCAAAUCCGGAGAAUCAAUGCCGAGGCGUGAUAACGAGCGUACUUGUACGUGAAGUGAUUGAUACCAUGCUUCCAAGAAAAGCCACUAAGCUUCAGUUGUAUAAGACCGUACCGCAAACCGACACAGGUGGGUAGGAUGAGAAUUCUAAGGCGCUUGAGAGAACCCGGGAGAAGGAACUCGGCAAAUUAGCACCGUAACUUCGGGAGAAGGUGCGCCCCGGUAACGUGUAGAGACUUGCUCUUGAAGCGUGAUGGGGUUGCAGUGAAAAGGUGGCUGCGACUGUUUAAUAAAAACACAGCACUCUGCAAACACGAAAGUGGACGUAUAGGGUGUGACGCCUGCCCGGUGCUGGAAGAUUAAAUGAUGGGGUGCAAGCUCUUGAUUGAAGUCCCAGUAAACGGCGGCCGUAACAAUAACGGUCCUAAGGUAGCGAAAUUCCUUGUCGGGUAAGUUCCGACCCGCACGAAUGGCGUAACGAUGGCCACACUGUCUCCUCUCGGGACUCAGCGAAGUUGAAAUGUUUGUGAAGAUGCAAUCUACCCGCGGCUAGACGGAAAGACCCCAUGAACCUUUACUGUAGCUUUACAUUGGACUUUGACAAGAUUUGUGUAGGAUAGGUGGGAGACGUUGAAGCGGAGUCGCUAGAUUUCGUGGAGUCAACCUUGAAAUACCACCCUGAUGUUGUUGAGGUUCUAACCUAGGUCCAUAAUCUGGACUGGGGACCGUGUAUGGUGGGCAGUUUGACUGGGGCGGUCUCCUCCCAAAGAGUAACGGAGGAGUGCGAAGGUAACCUAGGUACGGUCGGAAAUCGUACUGAUAGUGCAAUGGCAUAAGGUUGCUUGACUGCGAGACGGACAGGUCGAGCAGGUGCGAAAGCAGGUCAUAGUGAUCCGGUGGUUCUGUAUGGAAGGGCCAUCGCUCAACGGAUAAAAGGUACUCUGGGGAUAACAGGCUGAUUCCUCCCAAGAGUUCAUAUCGACGGGGGAGUUUGGCACCUCGAUGUCGGCUCAUCACAUCCUGGGGCUGUAGCCGGUCCCAAGGGUAUGGCUGUUCGCCAUUUAAAGUGGUACGUGAGCUGGGUUUAAAACGUCGUGAGACAGUUUGGUCCCUAUCUGCCGUGGGCGCUGGAAAUUUGAAGGGACCUGCUCCUAGUACGAGAGGACCGGAGUGGACGCACCGCUGGUGGACCAGUUAUCAUGCCAAUGGUAUAGCUGGGUAGCUAAGUGCGGAAGAGAUAAACGCUGAAAGCAUCUAAGCGUGAAACUCGCCUUAAGAUGAGAUUUCCCGGGGGUUUAACCCCCCUAAAGAGUCGUUCGAGACCAGGACGUUGAUAGGACGGAUGUGGAAGUGCAGUAAUGCAUUAAGCUGACCGUUACUAAUUGCUCGUGAGGCUUGAUU
rnacentral:rRNA from 1 species